GGGGCUGUGGCGCAGCUGGUAGCGCAUUUGCAUGGCAUGCAAAGGGUCAGGGGUUCGAGUCCCCUCAGCUCCACCA
rnacentral:tRNA from 12 species